GUUGACUAUAAGUAAAUAUAUGUAAAAUUAGAAUAAAAUUUUCAUCAAAAUGCUAUUUAAAAGUUCUCAUCAAAAUGAAAGAAAAAAAUAAUGACAGCACUUCCUGUUUCAUCCCAUACCAAUGUCCAUUCAGGAAUGAGUUUGAGUUUGAACCUUAUAGACCUUUCCUUGUUCAGCCUAAACCAGUAUGCACUAGUGUACGAUGUUUUCAAAUGAGUUUGGCUAUCAAUGUUCCAUUUAUAUUUAUGAGAUUAAGCAAGUUCUGUGACUUGAACUGGUUUAUAUUGCAUAGUGUAAACAGG
rnacentral:lncRNA from 1 species